rnacentral:rRNA from 1 species
GACGAACCGUGCGAACGUUGUUCGGAUUCACUGGGCUUAAAGGGCGCGUAGGCGGAUGGUCAAGUCGGGGGUGAAAUCUUUCAGCUUAACUGGAAAAGUGCCUCCGAUACUGAUCGUCUCGAGGGAGGUAGGGGCAUGUGGAACUUCCGGUGGAGCGGUGAAAUGCGUAGAUAUCGUCUGGAACGCCGAAGGUGAAAACAGCUCGCUGGGGCUGCGCUGACGCUGAGACACGAAAGCCAGGGGA